rnacentral:lncRNA from 1 species
CAGGUCUUAAAAUUGGCCAAGAAGGUGUUUUUUCUUUUCUUUGCCACAGGAUCAUGGUUUUUUCCAUUGUUAUUAAAGAUUCAGUUGCCUCACCUGAGCCACAAUAGAUGCGGUAGAAACGGGACACCUCAGAGAUUUGAUUUUGUCACGCUCUGAAAUUCAUAGUAAAUCUCAUCAUGCCACUCCAAUCUCUACCCCCAAAUCCCUGUCCAAAGUCCACAAUCCUUGGUGUGACAUGACUCAUUCAUUCAUUUAACAUUUCCUGAGUAUCUAAUGUGUGCAGACUUGCUCUGAUGGGCUCUGGAUUCACAGAAGUGAAAGGACAGACGCAAUUCCUGCCCACAGGCGAGAAGGACAGUGACACAAAUGUGUCAAUGAUCGCAUUUGGGAUUGUUGAGGUCAUGGAAUCCAGAGUGACUGAGGAGCUGUGGCAGGAGGAGCUGACUGAGUUAGGACCAGGGGUUUGUGAGGCUGGAGUCCGUGAAUGCGAAGAAAGGACUUCUUGGGAAUAGGAAAUGGUGGGGAGGAGGAAUUACAUUUUCUACUAACUUCAAACUGAAAUUUAGCAUUUUCUUUAAUUAGGAAUGUGGGCAAUAAACCAUGUGGUCUAGGAGCACCGGUAUUUUGACACCAGUGGAAACUACAGAUAUUUUCAUAUUACAUGGCAGUUGUUGACAAUACCUUGAAAUAUUUACACAUUUCACCACUGAGACACCAUGGUACUUGGAGCCCCUUUGCUAGAUCUUGUUAUUUAAUGUGUUAAUAGAUGACAUCUAUUACUAUUUUUUUAAUGUUGUG